rnacentral:rRNA from 1 species
AUUCUGGUUGAUCCUGCCAGAGGACAUUGCUAUUGGGAUUCGAUUUAGCCAUGCUAGUCGCACGAGUUUAGACUCGUGGCAGAUAGCUCAGUAACACGUGGCCAAGCUACCCUUCAGACCAGAAUAACCUCGGGAAACUGAGGCUAAGACUGGAUACGGUAUGCACGCUGGAAUGCAGCAUACUCCAAACGUUCCGACGCUGAAGGAUGCGGCUGCGGCCGAUUAGGUAGACGGUGGGGUAACGGCCCACCGUGCCAAUAAUUGGUACGGGUGAUGAGAGUCAGAGCCCGGAGACGGAAUCUGAGACAAGAUUCCGGGCCCUACGGGGCGCAGCAGGCGCGAAACCUUUACACUGCACGCAAGUGCGAUAGGGGAAUCCCAAGUGCGAGGGCAUACAGCCCUCGCUUUUGUUGACUGUAAGGAGGUCAACGAAUAAGAGCUGGGCAAGACCGGUGCCAGCCGCCGCGGUAAUACCCGCAGCUCGAGUGAUGUCCAAUUUUAUUGGGCCUAAAGCGUCCGUAGCUGGCCAGCCAAGUUCGUCGGGAAAUCCACCUGCCCAACAGGUGGGCGUCCGGCGAAAACUGUCUGGCUUGGAACCGGAAGGCUCAGAAGGUACUUCCGGGGUAGGAGUGAAAUCCUGUAAUCCCGGACGGACGACCGAUGGCGAAAGCAGUCUGAGAAGAC